CCUACGGGAGGCUGCAGUGGGGAAUAUUGGACAAUGGGGGGAACCCUGAUCCAGCCAUGCCGCGUGUGUGAAGAAGGCCCUCGGGUUGUAAAGCACUUUCAGUGAGGAAGAACGCCUGGUGGUUAAUACCCAGCAGGAAAGACAUCACUCACAGAAGAAGCACCGGCUAACUCCGUGCCAGCAGCCGCGGUAAUACGGAGGGUGCGAGCGUUAAUCGGAAUUACUGGGCGUAAAGCGCGCGUAGGUGGCUUGAUAAGCCGGUUGUGAAAGCCCCGGGCUCAACCUGGGAACGGCAUCCGGAACUGUCAGGCUAGAGUGCAGGAGAGGAAGGUAGAAUUCCCGGUGUAGCGGUGAAAUGCGUAGAGAUCGGGAGGAAUACCAGUGGCGAAGGCGGCCUUCUGGACUGACACUGACACUGAGGUGCGAAAGCGUGGGUAGCACACAGGAUUAGAUACCCUAGUAGUC
rnacentral:rRNA from 1 species